AAUCAACGCUGGCGGCGUGCCUCAGACAUGCAAGUCGAACGCGAAAGUUUCCUUCGGGAAGCGAGUAGAGUGGCGCACGGGUGAGUAACACGUAAGUAAUCUACCUCGGGGUGGGGAAUAACAUCGGGAAACCGAUGCUAAUACCGCAUAAUGCAGCGGCUUCUUAUGAAGACAGUUGUUAAAGCUAUUUUAUGUGCCUGGAGAGGAGCUUGCGGCAGAUUAGCUAGUUGGUAAGGUAAUGGCUUACCAAGGCAACGAUCUGUAGCCGACCUGAGAGGGUGGUCGGUCACACUGACACUGAAUAACGGGUCAGACUCCUACGGGAGGCAGCAGUCGGGUAAUUUUGGGCAAGUGGGCGCAAGCCUGACCCAGCAACGCCGCGUGAAGGAUGAAGUAUUUCGGUAUGUAAACUUACGUAAAAUAGGAAGAAUAAAUGACGGUACUAUUUGUAAGGUCCGGCUAACUACGUGCCAGCCGCCGACGGU
rnacentral:rRNA from 1 species